rnacentral:rRNA from 1 species
GAUGAACGCUGGCGGCGUGCCUAAUACAUGCAAGUCGAGCGAACAGACGAGGAGCUUGCUCCUCUGACGUUAGCGGCGGACGGGUGAGUAACACGUGGAUAACCUACCUAUAAGACUGGGAUAACUUCGGGAAACCGGAGCUAAUACCGGAUAAUAUAUUGAACCGCAUGGUUCAAUAGUGAAAGACGGUUUUGCUGUCACUUAUAGAUGGAUCCGCGCCGCAUUAGCUAGUUGGUAAGGUAACGGCUUACCAAGGCAACGAUGCGUAGCCGACCUGAGAGGGUGAUCGGCCACACUGGAACUGAGACACGGUCCAGACUCCUACGGGAGGCAGCAGUAGGGAAUCUUCCGCAAUGGGCGAAAGCCUGACGGAGCAACGCAGCGUGAGUGAUGAAGGUCUUCGGAUCGUAAAACUCUGUUAUUAGGGAAGAACAAAUGUGUAAGUAACUAUGCACGUCUUGACGGUACCGAAGCAGAAAGCCACGGCUAACUACGU